CCAAAAUCAGAAUCGGCAGGUCAGACUUUUGAAAAAUCGGAAAACGGAAUCGGACAAGAACAAGAUUUACGUUCGAUGCAUCUCUACUCCAAAAUGAAAAAAAGGUUUAUAUCUGUCUAUGAAUAUCACGUCACAGGGGAUAUCCUGCCCAUCUUACAGUAAAACAACUCUCACUCUGAUUGGACAGCGCUCCCACAACAGGGCCUCCUGGGAGGACACUACAGGAGAGGACAGUCAGAAAUGUUUCAAAUCCACAAAGGACAGAAUCAGAAACAUAGGAGAAUUACUAACAGCCGCUCCUCUGCUCUGCAAGCCGAAUUUGUGAAGAGGAGACCUGAAGAAUACUGGUGAUGCCGGUGAUACUAUAUAGUGCUACAGAUGUUAGUAAUGAUAGUGGGUGCGUGUGUGUCUUGCUGCUGCUGCUGAUGAUGAUGAUGAUGAUGAUGAUGAUGGGUGCAUCCGGAUGCCUGUCGCUGAGCUCUACCAUUUCUGUACUGAAGUACAGAGGCAGAAAGAGAAAGAGAGGGAGCAUGUGUCAGUGUUGCACACACAUGCAAGCACACACACACACACACACACACACACACACACACACACACACACACACACACGUAGAGCCUCAGCUGCGACACAGACCUGUCUGUGUCUAAAAAUGGAAAGCACACUUGCUGUUGCUGAGAAGCCACAAGAAGCUUCCAUAUGUGGAGUGUACAUACAGGGAUUUAUAUUAACAUCCAUCAAUGAAAUAACAUUAGUGG